rnacentral:rRNA from 1 species
UGGGGAAUAUUGGACAAUGGGCGCAAGCCUGAUCCAGCCAUGCCGCGUGAGUGAUGAAGGCCCUAGGGUUGUAAAGCUCUUUCACCGGUGAAGAUAAUGACGGUAACCGGAGAAGAAGCCCCGGCUAACUUCGUGCCAGCAGCCGCGGUAAUACGAAGGGGGCUAGCGUUGUUCGGAUUUACUGGGCGUAAAGCGCACGUAGGCGGACUAUUAAGUCAGGGGUGAAAUCCCGGGGCUCAACCCCGGAACUGCCUUUGAUACUGGUAGUCUUGAGUUCGAGAGAGGUGAGUGGAAUUCCGAGUGUAGAGGUGAAAUUCGUAGAUAUUCGGAGGAACACCAGUGGCGAAGGCGGCUCACUGGCUCGAUACUGACGCUGAGGUGCUAAAGCGUGGGGAGCAAACAGG